rnacentral:tRNA from 1 species
GGUCUGGUAGCUCAGUUGGUUAGAGUGUUGUCCUGAUACAACAAGGUUGGGGGUUCGAUCCCCAGUCAGGGCA